rnacentral:rRNA from 1 species
CCUACGGGUGGCAGCAGUGAGGAAUAUUGGUCAAUGGGCGCGAGCCUGAACCAGCCAAGUAGCGUGAAGGAUGACUGCCCUACGGGUUGUAAACUUCUUUUAUAAAGGAAUAAAGUGAGGCACGUGUGCCUUUUUGUAUGUACUUUAUGAAUAAGGAUCGGCUAACUCCGUGCCAGCAGCCGCGGUAAUACGGAGGAUCCGAGCGUUAUCCGGAUUUAUUGGGUUUAAAGGGAGCGUAGAUGGGUUGUUAAGUCAGUUGUGAAAGUUUGCGGCUCAACCGUAAAAUUGCAAUUGAUACUGGCAGUCUUGAGUACAGUUGAGGUAGGCGGAAUUCGUGGUGUAGCGGUGAAAUGCUUAGAGAUCAUACAGAACACCGAGUGCGAAGGCAGCUUACUAAUCUAUAUCUGACGUUGAGGCACGAAAGCGUGGGGAGCAAACAGGAUUAGAUACCCGAGUAGUC